rnacentral:rRNA from 1 species
AGUGAACGCUGGCGGUAGGCCUAACACAUGCAAGUCGAACGGCAGCACAGUAAGAGCUUGCUCUUACGGGUGGCGAGUGGCGGACGGGUGAGGAAUACAUCGGAAUCUACUUUUUCGUGGGGGAUAACGUAGGGAAACUUACGCUAAUACCGCAUACGACCUACGGGUGAAAGCAGGGGAUCUUCGGACCUUGCGCGAUUGAAUGAGCCGAUGUCGGAUUAGCUAGUUGGCGGGGUAAAGGCCCACCAAGGCGACGAUCCGUAGCUGGUCUGAGAGGAUGAUCAGCCACACUGGAACUGAGACACGGUCCAGACUCCUACGGGAGGCAGCAGUGGGGAAUAUUGGACAAUGGGCGCAAGCCUGAUCCAGCCAUACCGCGUGGGUGAAGAAGGCCUUCGGGUUGUAAAGCCCUUUUGUUGGGAAAGAAAAGCAGCAGGUUAAUACCCCGCUGUUCCGACGGUACCCAAAGAAUAAGCACCGGCUAACUUCGU